rnacentral:rRNA from 1 species
AGUGAACGCUGGCGGUAGGCCUAACACAUGCAAGUCGAACGGCAGCACAGUAAGAGCUUGCUCUUACGGGUGGCGAGUGGCGGACGGGUGAGGAAUACAUCGGAAUCUACUUUUUCGUGGGGGAUAACGUAGGGAAACUUACGCUAAUACCGCAUACGACCUACGGGUGAAAGCAGGGGAUCUUCGGACCUUGCGCGACUGAAUGAGCCGAUGUCGGAUUAGCUAGUUGGCGGGGUAAAGGCCCACCAAGGCGACGAUCCGUAGCUGGUCUGAGAGGAUGAUCAGCCACACUGGAACUGAGACACGGUCCAGACUCCUACGGGAGGCAGCAGUGGGGAAUAUUGGACAAUGGGCGCAAGCCUGAUCGAGCCAGACCGCGUGGGUGAAGAAGGCCUUCGGGUUGUAAAGCCCUUUUGUUGGGAAAGAAAAGCAGCAGGUGUAUACAUCGCUGUCCUGACGGUACCCAAAGAGUAAGCCCCGGCUAACUACGUG